GCAAAAAUGAUCAAUUAUAAGGACUAAAUUGAAAUUUUACAUAUUGUGAUGAAUGAUUGAUUUGAUGGGCCCAGGAGGGGCUGUGUGAUGUGAUUGAGUUGUGGAUAUAUGGAUUGUGGAUAUAGAAGUGUGUUUUGAGCCCUUUUUGCAGGUUGGGUAGGUCCUAGGUAUAGGGGAGACUGCCGGAUUUUCGGCACGACUUAGGACGUAUUGGGUCUUUUCUUGAUUUGUAUUGGGUCAUUUGUAUUAAAUAAUUGUAAUAUAAUUGUCAGGUGAGCCGGGACAGCCUUCUUCCUCCGCCCAGCCGCCACAGUGAUUGCCGUCAAGUCUGCCACAGGAGGAUAUUUUUUUGAGGUUAACCUGCUUUCUCCCUCGCAGGUCAAUUAUUACUGUUUGUAUAAACUUGUUAAAUC